rnacentral:lncRNA from 1 species
UCUAUUUAUUGAACUUUAACAAAACAACAAAGUGCAAAUGUAAAACAAAUCUUUUUUGUGCCAUUUAGUACAGAGCUUCUUUAAUAUGUCUUGUCCAUAUAUUGAAGCAAUAAUGAUAACAAAUAAAAAAUUCUAUAUAAUAAAUACUUUAUAUAGCCACAUAGCAAAUAUACAUAAUUAUCUCUAAAGUCAGAGCUCUGGCAAGAAGUUGGAAGGAAGAUACUAUUUCCAAAACCUGUAAGGGCGUAAUAACUAGUUUUUGAAAGGCCCAGAGAAACACAAAUAUCCGACAAAGGAAAAUCCCUGACGUUUUUGGAAUCACUAUGGACGCAUUUUGUAGGUCUCAAAAAGAGGAUAUGUCCGGGGAAAAGAGGAAGUCUGGUCACCCUAGCUUAAAUUGACAUUUUUCAACAAGGAACUAAAGAUGAGAAUAAACAGUCUAUUGGAUAAAUUCUUUUGAGGAUACAUAAAUUAUAGUUAUGUAGAAUAUUCAUACAAUAAAUGACAUAUUUGUAA